AAUAAAAUAUAUGAGAAAUAAAAAGAUAAAAAGGAAAAUAGAUGAAAAAAAAUGAUAAAAAAGAGAUGAGAAAUAAUAAAAAAAAUAUGUUAAAAAGGAAAAGAUGAUAAAUAAAAUAUAUGAGAAUGAAAAAGAUGAUAAAAAAUGAGAAAAAAGAGAAGAAACAGAGAAAGAAAAUGAAUAGUAGAGAAAAAAAUGAGUAAUUAUUUAUAUAAGCAAAUUAGUAAUUGAUUUUAGCAAUAGAUUAUUGAUUGUUAAAAAAAAUUAGGGUAGAAAUUUUGAAGAAGAAAAUUUUGCAAUCAAUUCGCAAUUGGUUGCAAAUCAAAAUUUAAAAAAAAAAUUGGUAAAAAUUUUUUGGGAGAAAAAAUAGGUUCAAAAAAUCGGUAGCAACCGAUUUG
rnacentral:misc_RNA from 1 species